GACAGAGGAUGCAAGCGUUAUCCGGAAUGAUUGGGCGUAAAGCGUCUGUAGGUGGCUUUUUAAGUCUGCCGUCAAAUCCCAGGGCUUAACCCUGGACAGGCGGUGGAAACUACCAAGCUGGAGUACGGUAGGGGCAGGGGGAAUUUCCGGUGGAGCGGUGAAAUGCGUAGAGAUCGGAAAGAACACCAACGGCGAAAGCACUCUGCUGGGCCGACACUGACACUGAGGCGCGAAAGCCAGGGGAGCGAACGGG
rnacentral:rRNA from 1 species